AUCAUAGCAAUAGGUAAGUCACCUCAAUUUCAGAAUCUCAUCCUAAGAAUCUACUUUCAAGGGUCACUCAUUACCAAAGUCCUAUGUUACAUUCCUCCUAAAACAAACCCUGAAACAAUCAUUUGGAUGUAAGUAGCCGAUUUGUGAAUGAAUCCCAGGAAGCAGGAGUGAGAGCAGGAAGAAUGAGAUAGGAAAGAAAAUACAAUGCAAGGGUGUACUAUCAAGAUUUCCAUUGUGAGUGCUUGGAACUUGAUUCCAGGAUCAGCACCCUUUUUAGAAAUGAGCAGGUGCUUCCCAGAAUUGUCCCUUAGAAGGACUAGAGGCUGGAUCAUGGUCCACUGGCCCUGGACCCGUUGGUUAAGGACAUUUCUCCUCUGCACCUUGGGGAUAUACUUGCAUAUAGGCCUCAGAGGUUCCCAUGGCCUAGAAAGGACACUUUGUCAGAAAGUGGAGAGAUGGGACAUUCAUUUGAAGUGCGUUGUUGUCACUAAAAAGCGAGGCAGAGAUUGAGUUGAACAGGCUACCACAGCUAUGGCUGAAAUCUGUGGCAUUCCCUUGAGGUGUAGUGGGUUAAGGAUCCAGCAUUGUCACUGCAGUGGCUUGGGUUUCUGCUGUGGCACAGGUUCGAUCCCUGGCCCAGGAACUUCCACAUGCUGCAGACACAGCCAAAAAAAAAAAAGUAUAAUUUUCUUCUUGGAUAUAAAGACAAAUUGGAUGGUAAGCCACACUCAAGAUUUCCAGAGCUUUUUCAUUAAAAUUUUUAGUUUUAAAAAUCUUCCAAGAAUGAGCAAAGAAUAAACAAUGACUAAAUCUAUAUCUUUAUAGUCCGUUGUAUUAUAAUGUAAUUUGUAAAUGUUUCUUUUUACACAUACCCUACAGUGAAACUUUUAUAGCUGAACCAGAUCAUGGCUCCUGUUAAAGAAUAAAUUGUGUCCAUGUGGCCAUGAAGAGGGCCCAGUCAGUGUAACAUUGAGUAAAACUGUUUUGUUUCUGAUCAAGCUCGUCCCUAAAAAACAAGCGUGAUUUCCAGGAUUAGCGAAGAAUUUAAACUCCCACAAUUUAAUCCUGUACUUUAAACAGCUGCUGCCAUGGUGCCAAGGUGUCUUUUCAAAAACAUGCAAUGUUUAUAGCAGCUUCAUUCAUAAUUGCCCAAACUAGAAGCAACCAAGUUGUCUUUGUUAGUAAGAUUGAUAAACAAAAGUACUGACGCUAAAGUGUCACUCUGACUUGGACUUCAGAUAGAUAGCUUUAAAUAAAACAUUUAUCUUCCUUUGGAACAUGGAGUGUAAAGAUUUUAUUUGUGACUCCAUUUCUUCUCUUUCCCCAAACAAUAUUACCUUCAAUUGGCAGCUUACAAGGAAGUAAAUUGGGAAAAAAAAAAUCAUUUUAUAAUAUCUACAAAUUAUUUACUGGGCAUCUAUGUUUAGGUUGAUUAACUAAACACCUUAAAAGUAAACACUUUGUUUCAUAGUUAACAAAUAUUUUUUCAUAGUUCUAAGUAUUGGAGUAAUAACAUUUUUAAAGUCUAAGAAGAAAUCUUAGUAAAUGUCUAGUCUACUUGCCUCAUUUUUACCAGUGAAUAAAUUGAAGCCCAGAGGAGUUAAAUGAUUCCCCUGAGAAAUGUAAGAAAGAAAAGAGGUUUAUUUAUAUAAACAAAAAUGUGUAAUCUAUUGGCAAUAGUCAUAUCUUAAAUAUUAAUACUUUUAAUUAUCCAUACAAAAGCAAAAUACUUAAAAGGUCAGUAAUCUUAUUAAAAUUUAAAUUGUAAUCUGCAAAGUAGGGUUGUGAAAAAAAUUUUAUACUUCUCUUAAAAAUAUUCUAACAACAGCAUCUCGUUUUUUCACUUAUAUUAAAAUAUGUGACCCUGUAGCAAUCAAGUAAAGCUACUUCUGCAUUUUCUUAGGGACAGCUUAAUCAUACUGGUUCAUGCAUUGCUACACUGUCAUUCUUAUUUUCCAAAUCAAACCUUAGAAAAUUUGCAGAACCUAGAAGCAGCAUUUAAUGGCCUGUGUAAAUACAGAGUACCUAGAGAGCAAAAUAAAAGGCCCCCAAGGGCAAAAUCUAUGACAGAAUUCCGUGAAAGAUACAAACUAUCAAAAAUUACUCCAGGAAGUUCCUAUUGUGGUGCAGCAGAAACGAAUCUGACUAGUAUCCAUGAGGAUUCGGGUUCCAUCCCUGACCUUGCUCAGUAGGUCCAGGAUUCAGCAUUGCUGUGAGCUGUGGUGUAGGUAACAGACACAGCUUGGAUCCCAGCUUGCUGUGGCUCUGGUGUAGGCCGGCAGCUGUAGCUCUGAUUAGACACCUAACCUGGGAACUUGCAUAUGCUGCAGGUGUGGCCAUAAAAAAGCACACACACACACACACACACACACACACACACACAAUAACUACAAAAGAAAUAAAUCAUCUGAACAGCCUUUUAUUUACAAAAGAAAUUGAAUGUAUAGUUAAAAACAUUCCCAUAAAGAAAACUAGACCCCCAAACAUGGAUUCAUCAGUGCAAACAUUUCAGAAAGAAUACCAAUUGUACACUCUCUUCCAGAACAUUGAAAAGAGAAAACUACUUAAGUAAUUUUAUGAGAACAACAUUAAUAGGAUACCAAAAGCAGACAGAUGUUACAAUAAAAGAAAAUGAUAAACUGAUAUCCUUUCUGAAAACAGAAGUAAGUAUUCUUUAAAAAGUCUUAGCAAAUUGAAUCUGAUAUCUUAGAAAAUAUACAGAUGUCCAAUAAAAAUAUGAAAAAUUGCUCAUAAUCAUAUGAUUAGGGAAUUGCAAAUGAAACAACAGUAAAAUUAUACCACAUAUUUAUUAGAAAGACUAAAAUCCAAAGUACUGCUAAUACUAAAUGCUGGGAGGGAUGCAGAGCACCAGUAACACCCUCAUUCAUUGCUGAUGAGAACACAAAAUAGUACAACCUUUGAAAAACAGUUUGACAGUCUCUUACAAAGAUAUCUACCCAUGAAUGUUUAUAGCAGCUUUAUUCACACUUCCCCAAACUAGAAGUCACCAAGGUGUCUUUCCAUAGGCAAAUGAAUGAACAAACUCGAAUAUAUUCAUAUAAUGGAAUACUGUUUGGUGAUGAAGAGAAAUGAGUUACCAAACCAUGGAAAGCCACAGAGGAACCUUAAACGCAUAUUGCUAAGGGAAUGCAGCCGGUCUGGAAAGGUUACAUGUAGUAUGAUCUCAACUAUGUGACAUUUUGGAGAAGGCAAAAUUAUAGCAGUAGUAAAAGAUGAUUGGUUGUCAGGAUGUGAGGGGAGGAGGGGAGGAUUGAAUAGGUGAAGCAUUCUUAGGGUAAUGAAACUAUUCUGUAUGAAACUGUGAAUAACAUGCCGUUAUUCAUUUGUCAAAACCCAUAGAACUAAACAACACAGAGUGAACAUUAAUAUAAACUAUGGACUAGGAAAUGAUAAUGUAUCAAUAUUGGUUCAUUAAUGGUAACCAAAAAUUGUUUUGUUAAUUAUAACAAAUGAAUCACCCUAGUGCAAGAUAUUAACAGUAGGGGAAACCAAAGUCGGGUGAGGGAGGGGUUGUGAAGUGGUGUGGCGUGUGUGUCUGUGAUCUCUAUACCAUUUGCUCAAUUAUUCUGUAAAUGUAAAACUAUACUUUAAAAAAAAAUCUAUUUUUAAGAACAAUUAGGGAAUUCUCAUUGUGGCUCAGUGGUAACAAACCUGACUAGUAUCCAUGAGGACACAGGUUCAAUACUUGAUCUUGCUCAGUGGGUCAAGGAUCCAGCGUUGCUGUGAGCUGUGGUGUAGGUUGCAGACUCGGCUUGGAUCUGGUGUGGCUGUGGCUGUGGCUGUGGCUGUGGCCGGCAGCUGCAGCAGGGAUUUGACCUCUAGUCUGGGAACUUCCAUUUUCUCUGGUGUGGCCCUAAAAAGCAAAACAAACAACAAAAACCACAAUUAAUAUAUCACGUCAAAGUGGAAUUUAUCUCAGGAAUGCAAAGUUGGAUUAAAACCCAAAAAUCAAUGUAAUUUAUCUUAUUAACAAACCAAAAGAAAACCCGUAUGAUUAUCUCAACAGAAAGCACAUUUGACAAAAUUCAAUGCCCAUUACUGAUACAAAUUCUCAACAAAUUAAGGUAGAAAUGAACUUCCUCAACCUGAUAAAAAGUGUCUAUAAAAACUCUACAUUUUGGAGUUCCUGUUGUGGCUCAGCAGAAGCGAAUUUUGACUAGCAUUCAUGAACACAGGUUCGAUCCCCAGCCUUACUCAGUAGAUUAAGGAUCCAGCGUUGCUGUGAGCUGUGGUGUAGGUCACAGAUGAGGCUUGGAUCUGACAUUGCUGUGGCUGUGGUGUAGGCCAGCAGCUGCAGUUCCGAUUAGACCCCUAGCCUAGGAACUUCCAUACGCCACUUAAUUAGAACAUGAGUUCCUGAGAAUUCAGCUUGCACCUAGAGCAGAGCCUGGCACACAGUAGGCAUUGAGCAACUCUUCUUUUUUUAAUGAAUGAAAUCCUGUUUCCUCCCAAUAUUGUUCUCAAUGAACUUUUCUCCUUUUAAUUCUAACCACUUUCCUCUUAUGCCAAGAACAUUUCUCUCCUCUGAAAUAUUGUCUUUUUCUGUAUUCAUCUUGGUAUGUUAACAUGCAUCCAUAUCAUUUCUAAAAUGUUUAGGAAAAAACAAAAGAUCCUAAGAGAGAAUCUACAUAAACUGUAGUUGCCUCUAGUUAAUACCUAGUCUAAUCAGUUGUAUACCCAUCAAAGUGGUGAUCUAAUCCAGUGCCCUAAAUUUUCCUCAGAGGAAAUGCUUCAUAUGCUUCAUCUGCCAAAAUAAUUUAGUCUGGCCCUGGUCUAGCUCUGUAAUUUAUGCCCUAAAGACUAGAAAAGUGCUAAAAUAUGGCUAGUAUUGACACAUUUACUCUGUUAUUUCCAGGCUACCAGGCUAAGUG
rnacentral:lncRNA from 1 species